UGAAGCUUUUAUCCUUUCUUAGUUCAUCCAUGGUUCACGUGAAAGAACCCUCUAUUUACCGACUACCCUCCAUACCCUCCAUCUCCUUCCUUUUUUUGUCGCCUGCAAACAUCUAGCACCAGGUGUCAUGGAUAUUUCCGAUGACCCGAAACCUGACGAACAUAAUGAAGGAUUUAGAAGGCGAAAAGUUCUUGAUUUGGUGAUGGUGGAACAAGAAAUCAGAAUGCAAAAAUGAGGGU